rnacentral:rRNA from 1 species
GUCUACAGCCAUGCCACCCCGAACAUUCUGAUCUCGUCUGAUCUCAGAAGUUAAGCAGGGUCGGGCCUGGUUAGUACUUGGAUGGGAGACCACCUCGGAAGACGGGGUGCUGUAGGCG